rnacentral:rRNA from 1 species
CACAUGUGACGAGUUUGAUCAGUGGCUCGAGAGCGAACGCGUAGCGGGUGGCUUAACACAUGCAAGUCGAGCGGGUCUUCGGGCCAGCGGCGAACGGGUGAGUAACACGUAGGAUAUCUGCCUUUUGGUGGGGCAUAGCCGGGGGAAACCCCGAUUAAUACCGCAUAUGGCCUAUGGGUCAAAGCCUUCGGGCGCCAAGAGAGGAGCCUGCGGCCCAUUAUUUAAUCCUAGUUGGUGGGGUAAUGGCCUACCAAGGGUACGAUGGGUAGCUGGUCUGAGAGGACGAUCAGCCACACUGGAACUGAGACACGGUCCAGACUCCUACGGGAGGCAGCAGUGGGGAAUAUUGCGCAAUGGGCGGAAGCCUGACGCAGCCAACCCGCGUGUGUGAUGAAGGCCUUCGGGUUGUAAAGCACUGUCGUGUGGGAAGAAGAUCUGACGGUACCUCACAAGAAAGCACCGGCUAACUCCGUG